CCAACUCUUCUCCAAUUCCACUUGAAGCUCCUGUCACCCAGACAACCUUGCCACGCAGUUCAUUUUCUGUCAGGAGAAUCAAGGCAGCAGUUCACACAUUGCCAAUGCUAGAAUAAACAUUUAAGUCCCUGCAGAGUUGUGAAAUUGUUCCAUGCUGUUCUGCUACUUGAACUUUGUUCCAUGGCUAAUCUGAAUAAACAUGAAUUAUCUACCUGAUGGAAGAAAUUAGAUUGCGUUUCUGCAACUCAUCCAUGCAGAGCAUAUCCACUGACCUCAUCAAAAAGAGCUUCAGAGGAAAAUGGAGAAGAGAAUUCUUGGAAAUGGCAGUUUUGAGUCUUAAUGAUAAUAAAUCCAAUGAAGAGAUGAGCACCAAAAUCUUGUUUCCCCUUUUCCUUAUUGAAGACUUCAAGAUUGACUAUCAGAGCUCACCUUGAAUUUGCAGGACUGGCACCAGUUUGUUUUCUGUUGAAACACAGUUUGUUUCCUGUCAAAACAAACAGUACUUGAACAGAAGCACACAUGGAUAUGCCUUCAUCCCUGCUUACCACACUCAUCUCUUCUUGCUACUGAAAACAAAUCCACUUCCUCCCACCACGCAGUUUCCCUGUUCUCAACCUGCCUUGAGCAGGUUCACUGUAGUUAUUCAGGAUCUUGUUCUGUGGACAGAAUAAUUAAUUGAGAUGAGGAAGGUUUUUCAUUGAUUUCUGAGUGCUGAUAGUUACCCUACACUGAUCUACUGGAAAUUAGUACAGUGCAAAACCUAGCUGAAAUGUUGUUGUAGAACAAUUAUCAAGCAACUAGCUUGUUCUAGAAUAAAUGUCCUGUUGUAACUGGAAAUAAGUUUAAAAAUUAACUGUGCCAAAUGGAAAAAUAAAAUAUUAUACUUUUACUAACCAUUAACUACUGUGUUACAAGGCAUAACAAAUGAGAGGUUGAACAGAGUACUACUGCAAUAUUCCAAGUGCUUCUGUAGUUCAGCUCUGUUCAGAUUUAUUUUUUUUUUCUCCAUCAUUUUAUAGCUCCCAUGGCACAAGGUUGUCACUUCAUUUUAUUCAUGAAAAUAUUUGGGGUGAGGAAGUCUAAAGCAGAACAUUUUCCCCAGACCCAUGAAGAAUCACACUAUUAUUCUUAGCUUAAAGAGUCAGUUUUCAUGUAUGUUUUCAUAUAUGCAUAUGUAAAAGGAUCCUACUAAGCUCGGUAAUACCAUGCUGUCUGUGAAAAGUGCACCACUUAGAGUGACCGCUGAUCAGCUAAUGAAAUACAAUGCAUAAGGGAAGUCACCCAGCACCCCGUAACCCUUGUCUCCUGAUCACACAAAUAUUUAGAUUACGGGAAAUAAUCCAGCACCUGCCAAUGAUGAAAUCCAGAUGCUUCCCUAUAGAAGUGAAUCACUGAAUUGAACUCAUCUUACCCAUACGAAGGCCAUGCUUUGUAAUUAUAGUUUUCAAGAUAAAGAAACAUGAUAAGAGUCUGCUUUCUGAUAAGCACUUUUAUCUGCAAAAUCUUCCAACACCCAUACUAAUGUUGUGGAAGCUAUAACAAAACAUAAUGACAGCAAGAGUAACAGCUCUAUCAACAGCUUUGAUUAAAAUUCAAGUUUUCUCCACCUGACCCAUGUGCUACUUACCUAGAGAUGUCUGUAGACAUGCUAUGCUGUGUGCACAAUGUGGGGAGGAGGAAAAGCAGGAAUAUAUUUGAAGAAAGACCUUUUCUAGUGUUUGUCCCUUUUGUUUUCCUUGCUGAGCUGAUAGAAUCAGCACUGUGACACCACUAUCACAUGUGUGCAAGGCAGAACUAUCAGCAAAAUGCUACUUAAAUGCUUCCAAUUCAGCUGCAUAUUUCAGUUACUUACAAGCACUUGAGGCCCAGGGUGGGGGGAAAACACAGUUCACCACUUUGCAGAGCAAAGAAGCUUACAUUGACAAAAUUCUUACCAAUGCUCCUUAUAUUACCUAUUGAAACAGCUAAAACUACAUUGCUCUGUACGUGGGAAUUUUUAGAGAUUAACUGAAAGGUUUCCAAGCUUCCAUUGCGAUUGAAAGGUACUUUCAAAUAAUUCUGUGUCUACCUGAGAACUCCUAAAUCUCCAUGUGCAUUGCACGUAGAUCCCUCAAGACAAAGCUUCAGUUCCGUUUAUAUUUAUCAAGAUUUAUCCUGUUUCUCUGCCCUGAGUCUUUCCAUGAUAUUCGCAAAGUCGACACACACAGGUAUUUUUCAUACUUUUCUUAUACUAAGGGAGCUACCUGAUGGACUUGCUGUAAAACUCAUACUGCAUACAGUUACGGAUUGGUCACAUAUUUAAAUUUAGUAUUCUUAGAGCUGGAUUACUUGUGCACACUUUCCUAUUCUCCAGUAUACAGACUAGCACUUUUGCAGCAAGCUUCUACUGAAAAUAGAAGUCAGACUUAUCUCAAAGUCUAGGCCACACUCCCAACCCAACUCCACAGGGAGAUGAUCCCCACCUUCUCCCACUUCUGUCCAACCUGAAGUGGUCUCCAUCCUCACCCUUGGUUUGUUGCAUGCCCACUAGGCUAGAACUAAGAAAUACGUCCCAGAUUCCUGUUUCAAAUGGCUUUCUUGACAAACUCUUCACAGAACUUGCCCUGCUCUUCUCUCAGCCCCUUCCCAAUGCCAACCUGCACCUGCACCACAUCCCCUACUGCAUCCUCGUCUCAAACACAAACCCUUACUCCUCAGUUCCCCCCCAACACAAUGACCCUCCUUCAUCCAAGACAGUCUUAUCUCCCCAUCUCAACCCAUCACCCAAUUUCAUUUUACACGCAGGGCAGCUUAUAGUGUUCCCUAUCCCAUCUUUUCCCAGAUCAGCUUCUCCACCCAGCUGUUCAGACGCGAGAAGAGGGUGCUAUGUGGUCACUGAUGGCACCUGCUCCAUUUUCACCUCAACCACCCAAACCCAGCAUGUCCCACAGCACCCCAAAUUGCAGCUGCUGGCUAAGCUGAGGUGGGAUAUUCAGAAAUGUGUGACUCUUCAGAUCAAAACCCUCUUUAAUGCAAGUAAAACUGAGGAUUUUUAAAGAUCUUUAGUUGUCUACAAGGAGGUAGAAUUGCAGACAGAUUAGAAAGGUCAACACAUGAAAGAGCUGUAAAUCCCUGGCUGAAGGCAUUUUAUUGAAUCUUUGUAACCGCAAGUGUCGAAUGCAACACCUUACAGAAAAGUGAGGAAAAUCCACAAACAGCAAUCAUGUGGUGCUGCUCCCUUAUGCCUUUUGGGGCAAAAUCCUCUGAAGAGGAAACCCAUUUAAUCCAAGCAUUAAUAUUCAUGUUUAUUAUGCUGUAAACACUUUCAGAACUACUGUGAAACUGAGAUCUGCUUUAAGAUGCAGUAAGGAACAGAAGCUAAAGAGACUAGGAAGAGUUUUUUUGUUGUUGUUUUUCUUUCUUCCAGACAAACUCAAAGUUUCUCUCUCUGACCCACACUGUCCAUCCCUCACCUGCAGGUUUUAGCAGGUUCCUGAGAGGCCCCAGCAGUGCCUGAAGGGGGAACACGCAUCACCUGCACACACUAGUGUGGGGUGCCACAAGGAAUCCCUUCCAUGGUGAUCAGAAAUCAAGGAACUAAUUCCUACCACUUAUAUUUAUUAAGUGUCCCCUUUUCUUAUUGUCCCCUGUUCUGUGCUUCUCCCGGCACACCACAGCCUCCCCGAGCAACACGCACACCUGACAGCCUCGCAUAUCACACAGGCUGAUGCCAGAACCAGACAUCUGACCGGAAACAAUGCAAAACAAUACUUUUGGGGCUGAGCGAGCCCUGCAAAGUUGCUUUUAGAUCACUUUAUUCAACGGGUCUCUUCACCACUGCCCUGCAGCGAGCUGCAGCUGUGCGUGCGAGGGUCACCACACCUUGCUGAGAGCUGAAAAUACUGCUUUUAGGGUUAUCGUUCAACGAGCCCCGGGGGCAGCUAUGGUCGGAUCGGCCGAGCUGAGACGACUGCAGCCCCGGCUGCCUUGGUCCCCCCUCACCCCCACACGCCGCCAUGCCCGGUCCCCCUCACGGAGCGCCUCAAACGCCGCCACCCCUCGGCGCCCCGGAGCCUCCCUCCGGGCUGGCGGCCGCUCCCGGCGGGCAGCCGCUCCCUGGG